AUUGAACGCUGGCGGCAUGCCUUACACAUGCAAGUCGAACGGCAGCACGGGGCAACCUGGUGGCGAGUGGCGAACGGGUGAGUAAUGCAUCGGAACGUACCUUUCAGUGGGGGAUAACGUAGCGAAAGUUACGCUAAUACCGCAUAUUCUGUGAGCAGGAAAGCAGGGGAUCGCAAGACCUUGCGCUGAUUGAGCGGCCGAUGUCAGAUUAGCUAGUUGGUGAGGUAAAGGCUCACCAAGGCAACGAUCUGUAGCGGGUCUGAGAGGAUGAUCCGCCACACUGGAACUGAGACCCGGUCCAGACUCCUACGGGAGGCAGCAGUGGGGAAUUUUGGACAAUGGGGGCAACCCUGAUCCAGCCAUGCCGCGUGAGUGAAGAAGGCCUUCGGGUUGUAAAGCUCUUUCGGCCGGGAAGAAAUCGCACGGGCUAAUACCCUGUGUGGAUGACGGUACCGGAAUAAGAAGCACCGGCUAACUACGUGCCAGCAGCCGCAGUAAGAC
rnacentral:rRNA from 1 species